UAGGGAAUCUUCGGCAAUGGGGGCAACCCUGACCGAGCAACGCCGCGUGAGUGAAGAAGGUCUUCGGAUCGUAAAACUCUGUUGUUAGAGAAGAACAUGCAGGAGAGUAACUGUUCUUGUAUUGACGGUAUCUAACCAGAAAGCCACGGCUAACUACGUGCCGG
rnacentral:rRNA from 1 species